UUGCUUACUUUGGUAGCAUGCAUAGUGAAACUGAAUGAUACAGAGAAGAUUAGCAAGGUCCAUGUUUAAGGGUGAAGAAUAAAUUCAUGAAGUGUUUCUGACAACU